AUUGAACGCUGGCGGCAUGCUUUACACAUGCAAGUCGAACGGCAGCGCGGGCUUCGGCCUGGCGGCGAGUGGCGAACGGGUGAGUAAUACAUCGGAACGUGCCCAGUAGUGGGGGAUAGCUCGGCGAAAGCCGGAUUAAUACCGCAUACGACCUGAGGGUGAAAGCGGGGGAUCUUCGGACCUCGCGCUAUUGGGGCGGCCGAUGGCAGAUUAGCUAGUUGGUGGGGUAAAGGCCUACCAAGGCGACGAUCUGUAGCUGGUCUGAGAGGACGACCAGCCACACUGGGACUGAGACACGGCCCAGACUCCUACGGGAGGCAGCAGUGGGGAAUUUUGGACAAUGGGCGAAAGCCUGAUCCAGCAAUGCCGCGUGUGUGAUGAAGGCCUUCGGGUUUUAAAGCACUUUUGGCGGGAACGAAAAGGACUGUGCCAAUACCACGGUUCGAUGACGGUACCCGCAGAAUAAGCACCGGCUAACUACGUG
rnacentral:rRNA from 1 species